rnacentral:rRNA from 1 species
GACGAACGCUGGCGGCGUGCCUAAUACAUGCAAGUAGAACGCACAGUUUAUACCGUAGCUUGCUACACCAUAGACUGUGAGUUGCGAACGGGUGAGUAACGCGUAGGUAACCUGCCUGGUAGCGGGGGAUAACUAUUGGAAACGAUAGCUAAUACCGCAUAAUAUUGAUUAUUGCAUGAUAAUUGAUUGAAAGAUGCUAUUGCAUCACUACCAGAUGGACCUGCGUUGUAUUAGCUAGUAGGUGAGGUAACGGCUCACCUAGGCGACGAUACAUAGCCGACCUGGGUGGGUGGUCGGCCACCCUGGUACUGAGAAACGGCCCAGACUCCUACGGGAGGCAGCAGUAGGGGAUCUUCGGCAAUGGACGAAAGUCUGACCGAGCAACGCCGCGUGAGUGAAGAAGGUUUUCGGAUCGUAAAGCUCUGUUGUAAGAGAAGAACGGGUGUGAGAGUGGAAAGUUCACACUGUGACGGUAUCUUACCAGAAAGGGACGGCUAACUACGUG